AACUGAAGCGUAAUCAUGACUUAUCGUUGCUAUUCAUAAUAGUUCGUGGUAUAUUAUAUGCAAGUACUUCUUUGUUCGGAAUAUUUUGGUGACAAGUUUCAUUUGUAAACUUCUUCCAACGUACGCCUUUCAAGAUUUACCAAAUAAUUUGUUUUUUUAAUAGGAGGAUUUUUACACAUGGAACACGGCACAGUAAAAUGGUUUAACGCAGACAAAGGUUAUGGCUUCAUCACUCGCGACAAUGGUAGCGACGUAUUCGUUCAUUUCUCAGCUAUCCAAGGCGACGGCUACAAGACAUUAGACGAAGGCCAAAGCGUAACUUUUGAUGUUGAAGAAAGCGACCGCGGCCCACAAGCUGCUAACGUUAACAAAGAAGCUUAAUUAAACUUCUUUUAGACAGGGAUCACCAAUCGGUGGUGCCUGUUUU
rnacentral:sRNA from 1 species